rnacentral:rRNA from 1 species
GAUGAACGCUGGCGGCGUGCCUAAUACAUGCAAGUCGAGCGAACGGACGAGAAGCUUGCUUCUCUGAUGUUAGCGGCGGACGGGUGAGUAACACGUGGAUAACCUACCUAUAAGACUGGGAUAACUUCGGGAAACCGGAGCUAAUACCGGAUAAUAUUUUGAACCGCAUGGUUCAAAAGUGAAAGACGGUCUUGCUGUCACUUAUAGAUGGAUCCGCGCUGCAUUAGCUAGUUGGUAAGGUAACGGCUUACCAAGGCAACGAUGCAUAGCCGACCUGAGAGGGUGAUCGGCCACACUGGAACUGAGACACGGUCCAGACUCCUACGGGAGGCAGCAGUAGGGAAUCUUCCGCAAUGGGCGAAAGCCUGACGGAGCAACGCCGCGUGAGCGAUGAAGGUCUUCGGAUCGUAAAACUCUGUUAUUAGGGAAGAACAUAUGUGUAAGUAACUGUGCACAUCUUGACGGUACCUAAUCAGAAAGCCACGGCUAACUACGUGCCAGCAGCCGCGGUAAUACGUAGGUGGCAAGCGUUAUCCGGAAUUAUUGGGCGUAAAGCGCGCGUAGGCGGUUUUUUAAGUCUGAUGUGAAAGCCCACGGCUCAACCGUGGAGGGUCAUUGGAAACUGGAAAACUUGAGUGCAGAAGAGGAAAGUGGAAUUCCAUGUGUAGCGGUGAAAUGCGCAGAGAUAUGGAGGAACACCAGUGGCGAAGGCGACUUUCUGGUCUGUAACUGACGCUGAUGUGCGAAAGCGUGGGGAUCAAACAGGAUUAGAUACCCUGGUAGUCCACGCCGUAAACGAUGAGUGCUAAGUGUUAGGGGGUUUCCGCCCCUUAGUGCUGCAGCUAACGCAUUAAGCACUCCGCCUGGGGAGUACGACCGCAAGGUUGAAACUCAAAGGAAUUGACGGGGACCCGCACAAGCGGUGGAGCAUGUGGUUUAAUUCGAAGCAACGCGAAGAACCUUACCAAAUCUUGACAUCCUUUGACAACUCUAGAGAUAGAGCCUUCCCCUUCGGGGGACAAAGUGACAGGUGGUGCAUGGUUGUCGUCAGCUCGUGUCGUGAGAUGUUGGGUUAAGUCCCGCAACGAGCGCAACCCUUAAGCUUAGUUGCCAUCAUUAAGUUGGGCACUCUAAGUUGACUGCCGGUGACAAACCGGAGGAAGGUGGGGAUGACGUCAAAUCAUCAUGCCCCUUAUGAUUUGGGCUACACACGUGCUACAAUGGACAAUACAAAGGGCAGCGAAACCGCGAGGUCAAGCAAAUCCCAUAAAGUUGUUCUCAGUUCGGAUUGUAGUCUGCAACUCGACUACAUGAAGCUGGAAUCGCUAGUAAUCGUAGAUCAGCAUGCUACGGUGAAUACGUUCCCGGGUCU